GCGGCGUGCCUAAUACAUGCAAGUCGAACGAACUCUGGUAUUGAUUGGUGCUUGCAUCAUGAUUUACAUUUGAGUGAGUGGCGAACUGGUGAGUAACACGUGGGAAACCUGCCCAGAAGCGGGGGAUAACACCUGGAAACAGAUGCUAAUACCGCAUAACAACUUGGACCGCAUGGUCCGAGUUUGAAAAAUGGCUUCGGCUAUCACUUUUGGAUGGUCCCGCGGCGUAUUAGCUAGAUGGUGGGGUAACGGCUCACCAUGGCAAUGAUACGUAGCCGACCUGAGAGGGUAAUCGGCCACAUUGGGACUGAGACACGGCCCAAACUCCUACGGGAGGCAGCAGUAGGGAAUCUUCCACAAUGGACGAAAGUCUGAUGGAGCAACGCCGCGUGAGUGAAGAAGGGUUUCGGCUCGUAAAACUCUGUUGUUAAAGAAGAACAUAUCUGAGAGUAACUGUUCAGGUAUUGACGGUAUUUAACCAGAAAGCCACGGCUAACUACGUGCCAGCAGCCGCGGUAAUACGUAGGUGGCAAGCGUUGUCCGGAUUUAUUGGGCGUAAAGCGAGCGCAGGCGGUUUUUUAAGUCUGAUGUGAAAGCCUUCGGCUCAACCGAAGAAGUGCAUCGGAAACUGGGAAACUUGAGUGCAGAAGAGGACAGUGGAACUCCAUGUGUAGCGGUGAAAUGCGUAGAUAUAUGGAAGAACACCAGUGGCGAAGGCGGCUGUCUGGUCUGUAACUGACGCUGAGGCUCGAAAGUAUGGGUAGCAAACAGGAUUAGAUACCCUGGUAGUCCAUACCGUAAACGAUGAAUGCUAAGUGUUGGAGGGCUUCCGCCCUUCAGUGCUGCAGCUAACGCAUUAAGCAUUCCGCCUGGGGAGUACGGCCGCAAGGCUGAAACUCAAAGGAAUUGACGGGGGCCCGCACAAGCGGUGGAGCAUGUGGUUUAAUUCGAAGCUACGCGAAGAACCUUACCAGGUCUUGACAUACUAUGCAAAUCUAAGAGAUUAGACGUUCCCUUCGGGGACAUGGAUACAGGUGGUGCAUGGUUGUCGUCAGCUCGUGUCGUGAGAUGUUGGGUUAAGUCCCGCAACGAGCGCAACCCUUAUUAUCAGUUGCCAGCAUUAAGUUGGGCACUCUGGUGAGACUGCCGGUGACAAACCGGAGGAAGGUGGGGAUGACGUCAAUCAUCAUGCCCCUUAUGACCUGGGCUACACACGUGCUACAAUGGAUGGUACAACGAGUUGCGAACUCGCGAGGGUAAGCUAAUCUCUUAAAGCCAUUCUCAGUUCGGAUUGUAGGCUGCAACUCGCCUACAUGAAGUUGGAAUCGCUAGUAAUCGCGGAUCAGCAUGCCGCGGUGAAUACGUUCCCGGGCCUUGUACACACCGCCCGUCACACCAUGAGAGUUUGUAACACCCAAAGUCGGUGGGGUAACCUUUUAGGAACCAGCCGCCUAAGGUGGGACAGAUGAUUAGGGUGAAGUCAUAAC
rnacentral:rRNA from 1 species